AUGGUGGCAAUGGAAGGAGCUGUGGGUGCGUGGGCAUGGUGGCUGGGCCUCCUGUUCGGCGCCGUCCCGCUGCUCUGCCUCGCCGUGUGGCACUCCACCGACGCAUGGUACUGCGCCGCGUUCGCUCUCAAAUACCGCGGCCAUGGGAGCAAUGGCAUCCGGCGGCGCCUCCCGCCGGGCCACAUGGGUGUCCCCUUUCUGGGAGAGACGCUCUCGCUGCUCUGGUACUUCAAGCUGGCACGCCGCCCGGACGACUUCAUCGGCGCCAAGAAGAGCGCGUACGGCAGCGCGGCAGGGAUGUACAGGACGCAUCUGUUCGGCUCCCCCAGCAUCAUCGCCUGCUCGCCGGCCGCGAACAAGUUCGUGCUGCAGUCACCCGAAAGCUUCGGCAUCAGGUGGCCGGUGCCGGAGCUCGUCGGCAUCACGUCGGUGGUGAACGUGGAGGGCAGCAGCCACGCCAGACUCCGUGGGUUCAUCCUCGCCGCCAUCAACCGGCCCAGCUCGCUCCAGACCAUCGCCACCGUUGUGCAACCGCGCGUCGUAGCGGCGCUGCGAACGUGGGCGGAUAAGGGUACCAUCGUCGCCGCCACAGAGAUUAAAAAGGUAAUUUCUAGACAAAAUUAA
rnacentral:rRNA from 1 species